rnacentral:rRNA from 1 species
ACGGGGGGAGCAAGCGUUGUUCGGAUUUACUGGGCGUAAAGGGCGCGUAGGCGGUUUGUCGCGUCUGCUGUGAAAACGCGAGGCUCAACCUCGCGCCUGCAGUGGGUACGGGCAGACUAGAGUGCGGUAGGGGAGACUGGGAUUCCUGGUGUAGCGGUGGAAUGCGCAGAUAUCAGGAGGAACACCGGUGGCGAAGGCGGUGGUCUGGGCCGGUACUGACGCUGAGGAGCGAAAGCGUGGGGAGCGAACAGGA